rnacentral:lncRNA from 1 species
CUUAUCGGCAACUUCUCUGCCCUUUUUUAGGCCUCAAAAGUGCUACCUUCUUUACAAAGUAUUAUCCAGGGGAGUUGGAAAGACAACCUCUCCUUGAGGAACCAAACUAAGGUCUGUCUCCUUCAAAAAGCCUUCUGUGAUCGCUCCAUCUCAGUCAUUUCUCUGCUCUUCUGGUUUACUGGAGGCUGUGAUUGGAUUAAAUUAAAUAAUUACUGAAAAUCCUCUAGGGAAAAGCCCAUUUUGCUGGGUGCUAAGGCAGGGAGAGAGGAGGUGGUGGGAACCAACAGUGCGCCUGCCCAGUGCUUGAGGAGUGACAGUCUGUGGAAGGACACACACUGGACAGUCACACCCUGCGAGAAAAAAAAAGAUGAGGCUGACUUCUGCAAAUUUUGGAUACCAUGAUGACCUCAGAAAACCUAGAGGACCUUCCACAACCUUGUGGCAGCUUCAGACUAAGAGGAACAAUCUGUCUACUAAAUGAAUAUCACCAGGAGCAGCAAAUCCCACCAGUCAUCCACCAGCAGGAAUUGUCCCCCAGGAGAACUGAUUUAUACAGCAGGACAUCAAGUGCAUGAUAAAGACACAUAAUAUAGGUGGGCCUUUGAAGGCAAUUACGUUUAGAUGCCAUCCCUAUGCUGGAAUUAGCACCCUUAUGGGAAGAGACACCAGGGAGCUUGUUUCUUCUCUCUCUCCCCACCAUGUGAGGACACAGGCGAAGGCGGCCAUCUGCAAGCCAGGAAGAGAGCCCUCACCACAACCUGACCAUGCUGGCAACUUGAUCUUGGGCUUGCCAGCCUCCAGAACCGUGAGAGAAUAAAUUUCUGUUGCUUAAACCACCCAGUCUAUUUUAUUUUGUUAUGGCAGCCUGAGCAGACUAUGACACUGAACAAAAUUAAAAACCAGAUCCUCCAA